rnacentral:misc_RNA from 1 species
UAAUCUCACUACAACCACUUUAUUGUUGUUUGUAUGUGGACUUGGAUGUUGCCGUGUAACAAACGGCUCGUCUGAAAUGCCUGAGUGUACCCUGCUUUUGCGGCGUAUUCGGUGUGAUAAAUCUUCACCGGAGUUGACUUUCGGGUCGCGUUUGCAUCGUCGGGCUCUAUGCUUCCAACCGUCCUGACAAGACAAUCUCUGACA